rnacentral:rRNA from 1 species
UACGAAGGGGGCUAGCGUUGUUCGGAAUCACUGGGCGUAAAGCGCACGUAGGCGGAUCUUUAAGUAAGGGGUGAAAUCCCGAGGCUCAACCUCGGAACUGCCUUUGAUACUGGGGAUCUCGAGUCCGGGAGAGGUGAGUGGAACUGCGAGUGUAGAGGUGAAAUUCGUAGAUAUUCGCAAGAACACCAGUGGCGAAGGCGGCUCACUGGCCCGGAACUGACGCUGAGGUGCGAAAGCGUGGGGAGCAAACAGG